UACAGAGGUCCCAAGCGUUGUUCGGAUUCACUGGGCGUAAAGGGUGCGUAGGUGGUGAGGUAAGUCGGAUGUGAAAUCUCCGAGCUCAACUCGGAAACUGCAUUGGAAACUACCUUGCUCGAGGGUUGGAGGGGGGACUGGAAUACUUGGUGUAGCAGUGAAAUGCGUAGAUAUCAAGUGGAACACCAGUGGCGAAGGCGAGUCCCUGGACAACUCCUGACACUGAUGCACGAAAGCUAGGGGAGCAAACAGG
rnacentral:rRNA from 1 species